rnacentral:tRNA from 1 species
AGGUGUCUCUAGAAUGAUGUUUAUAAGACAGUAUUUGAUGUACUUUAGAUUUUGAUUCUGAUGGAAUA